rnacentral:rRNA from 1 species
AUUGAACGCUAGCGGCAGGCCUAACACAUGCAAGUCGAACGAGUGGGGGACGGGAGAGUAAGGUACGGGAAACGGCCCGAGGGAGGGGGAUAACUACGGGAAACGGUAACUAAUACCGCAUACCAUCGGAGGUGCCCAGAUGGGAUUAGCGAGGGGGGGGGGAAAAGGCUCACCUAGGCGACGAUCCCGAGCUGGUGUGAGAGGAUGACCAGCCACACUGGAACUGAGACACGGCCCAGACUCCUACGGGAGGCAGCAGUGGGGAAUGUUGCACAAUGGGCGAAACCCGGAUGCAGCCAUGCCGCGUGUAUGAUGAAGGCCUUCGGGUUGUAAAGUACUUUCAGCAGGAAAGCGUUACCCGCAGAAUAAGCACCGGCUAACUCCGUGCCAGCAGCCGCGGUAAUUC